GGCAGCGUGGUCUAAAGGGUGGAGCGCUAGAUUGGGAUUCUAGAGACCUGGGUUCCAAUCCCUUCUCUGCCG
rnacentral:tRNA from 1 species